AGAGUUUGAUCCUGGCUUAGGAUGAACGCUGGCGGCGUGCCUAACACAUGCAAGUCGAACGGAAACUGGACGCUUCGGAGACUUCGGUCAAUGUUUGUUUAGUUUUAGUGGCGGACGGGUGAGUAACGCGUGGAUAACCUGCCUCAUACAGGGGGAUAACAGUUAGAAAUGACUGCUAAUACCGCAUAAGCGCACGGAAUCGCAUGUUUCUGUGUGAAAAACUCCGGUGGUAUGAGAUGGAUCCGCGUCUGAUUAGCUAGUUGGCGGGGUAACAGCCCACCAAGGCGACGAUCAGUAGCCGGCCUGAGAGGGUGAACGGCCACAUUGGGACUGAGACACGGCCCAAACUCCUACGGGAGGCAGCAGUGGGGGAUAUUGCACAAUGGGGGAAACCCUGAUGCAGCCGACGCCGCGUGAGUGAAGAAGUAUUUCGGUAUGUAAAGCUCUAUCAGCAGGGAAGAUAAUGACGGUACCUGACUAAGAAGCACCGGCUAAAUACGUGCCAGCAGCCGC
rnacentral:rRNA from 1 species